UACGGGGGGGGUAAGCGUUGUUCGGAAUUACUGGGCGUAAAGGGCUCGUAGGCGGCAUUGCAAGUCGGAUGUGAAAUCCCUCGGCUUAACCAAGGAAGUGCAUCCGAAACUGCAGUGCUUGAGUACUUAAGAGGAUCGCGGAAUUCCCGGUGUAGAGGUGAAAUUCGUAGAUAUCGGGAGGAACACCAGUGGCGAAGGCGGCGAUCUGGGAAGAUACUGACGCUGAGGUGCGAAAGCGUGGGGAGCAAGCAGG
rnacentral:rRNA from 1 species